rnacentral:rRNA from 1 species
GACGAACGCUGGCGGCGUGCUUAACACAUGCAAGUCGAACGGAAAGGCCCUGCUUUUGUGGGGUGCUCGAGUGGCGAACGGGUGAGUAACACGUGAGUAACCUGCCCUUGACUUUGGGAUAACUUCAGGAAACUGGGGCUAAUACCGGAUAGGAGCUCCUGCUGCAUGGUGGGGGUUGGAAAGUUUCGGCGGUUGGGGAUGGACUCGCGGCUUAUCAGCUUGUUGGUGGGGUAGUGGCUUACCAAGGCUUUGACGGGUAGCCGGCCUGAGAGGGUGACCGGCCACAUUGGGACUGAGAUACGGCCCAGACUCCUACGGGAGGCAGCAGUGGGGAAUAUUGCACAAUGGGCGGAAGCCUGAUGCAGCAACGCCGCGUGCGGGAUGACGGCCUUCGGGUUGUAAGCCGCUUUCGCCUGUGACGAAGCGUGAGGGACGGUAAUGGGUAAAGAAGCACCGGCUAACUACGU